ACAUAAGCGCAGACCUGUGGAGUCCUAGCAGUUACCACUCAAACACUUCCUGUGUGUUAGUGGAAUCCAGCCCCUUCGAGUUUACCUAACUGGAAGUAGUUUGUUCCACUUAAGUACUGAUACGUUUUAGCUUGACCCAACCUCUGUUAUGAUUGCAUGGAAACCCCCAGAUUUAACCUCUGUUCUCGGGCCUGGGUUUUUGUUCCCACUUCACUGUGUGACCUCUGGCAGUCACUUCACUGGUCUGAGCUUUGGUUUCCUCACUUAUAAAAUGAAGGCAGUCACGCCUCUUCGUAGCCUUAGUGUGAAUAUUCAUAAAGCAUCUGGAGCACAGUUGGCCAUCGGUACAGACCUGUUACUGGAGUUGCAUGGAAAAAACUAGACUGAACCUUUGAUCUCACAGUUGUUCGGUACCUGAAAUUUUAAAGAUCUUUCAAGAAGAUAGAGAGAACAUCUAAAUGCACAGUGUAAGUACUAGCAUCUCAUUUACACUAAAAAAAGACAGUUCUGAACUCAAACUUGAGAUUUGAAUGUCAGCCAGCCUUCCCUCCUCCCAUAGCGAUCUGAUGGAAAAUAUUUCUGUAUAGCACAAAAGGACUUAAUUCUUUUCAUUCCAGGUGAUAACCUUUAUGGGCAAGUCAGGUUAAAAAAAAAAGACCCCAAAGCCUCGAAAUACACAUUUUUUUUUAGAGAAAGAAGAAAAGCAUCUAAGAGGAAAGGAUUUGCUCAUUUAUUUGGGGGAGCCUAUGAGUAAAUAAGAAUGGCAAAGCAUAUGGAACUUUUUAAUCUGUAUUUUUUAAAAAAUUUGUCUGGGAAGUAGCUUUUAUAUGCCAAGAUUCAUUCCGUGAUUAGUUUCUCAAACUCUCGAAUAUAAGGACCUAGAAGGGAAGUGCUGACAUACCUAUACCCAGAGCUGUGUGAUUGGCAUCCCCGUCACAUUGUAACUGACAAACAAAAUAAUCUCGGGCUAAUUGCCGCAUGUCGUAGGCGACAUAAAAGUGGUAACUUUUAUGUCUGAGCCUGUUGUAACAGCCUGACACACGGCUUGGUGGAGAUCAGCAGUGGAAGCCCAUUCGUUGCUGUUUUUCCCAUCAGGCCUCAGUAAAACAUCAUCUUUCUUACUACUCACUUCACAAAAGAUAGUAUACUGAAAUGUACUGAGAUUUUUGAACUGGAGUCAAGAGACAUGACCCUAUUUUAUGUUGAUCCAUUCAGUGGUCCUUGAGAAUCGAUGAAAAAGCGCUGGAAAAAUACAUGAAUGAAAGUACUCAUUAAUGAAACUGUCCAUAUUGUUCUCCCUAACAACCACAGAAAGAAAUGCUAACAACAUCUUCCUCUAGAAGUAGAGCUGUUUCUGCCUAUCUGACUCCAUCACCUUGGAUGUCAGUACUGACCAUGCUGAGGCUUGGAGUUGUUUAUACAGUUGGCCAAACUUCACUGAGUUUUAGUUUUCAGGUUCUACUGGAUGUUCUUGUGACAAUUGCCUAAUUUGGGGCUAUAGUGGAAAUUUGCUUUUAAAUUUGGGGUGUUCUGUCUUUGUUCUUUAUAAGUGCUCAGCCAUUUUACAGGGAUUUCCAUUUUUUUUCACUUCUUGCUUGAGUUUACUCAACUAAAUUAUAGCCAAGCAGUAACUCUAAAGCUUAGUUCUUCCCCCUGGCUUUCCCUGCUGACCUGCAUAUGCCUAGAUGUCCUCAUGUAUAAAGUAAGACUCCUUAAGGAGUCCUCCCAAGAUUGCAAAGUAUCAUUGUAGUAUAUUCAAUAAUCUGAACCUAAAUCUGUUGGUCUGUUUUGGAAGACCCUAAUAUAUUCUGAUCCCUUCUCUAGGUAGGUAGGGAGAGGGUAGGUGGGAUGUGGGGUCCUGGUUUGCAAGGAGAGGACAUUCUGCUUGGGGUAAUAAGGUGUCAGUUUAUUCAAGAAAGCAGACCAUUAAUUGUGUGCGGUGUACCUUAGUGCUUUAGGAGAUCAAAGGAAGAGAUCAGCGAGGACAGAAAGAACUACUAAGGAGGUUGUCCAGAAGAGGUGGGCCGCAACCGCGUUGAGGAAGGGUGGGUAGCUUUGGAUGGAUGAAAAGAACAUUCCAGUAAGGGGAACAUUAUGGGUGAAAAUGCUGAGGCAGGAAUGAGCUCAGUGUGUUCCUAGUACUGGGCAGAUCCCAAAAAAUAGUUUCAUUUGUACCCUCUGUGAUAACUUGUUUUUCGUUUGUUCAGAGUCAGCCAGUUCUCACAGGGACAGGUUCGAUGCUCUGUGCAAUUGAGGUCUCCCUUGCUUUAGCUUUUAACCUUGUUCCUCUCAAAUCUGGUUAAAAUGCUGUUGGAGGUCAUGUCGUUUUCCCCUGCCAGGCCCUCUGUUGCUGAAUCUCCUGUAGAUCACAUGCAAGGCCUUCAGGACACCCCCCACCACCACUGCCAGCCUCAUGGCUCCUCUGGACCCUUCUCACUUUUCACAACCCAGCUUCAUCCACCUGGAACUCACCACGUUCCCUCUUGUCUGCGGCCCUUCAAAUGAGCUCAGGACUCAGCUGCAACAUCACUUCCCCAGGGAGACCAGAGAUCAAUAGACAUCAACGCAAUUUUACAAUGUGCUAAAGCUCUUUGAACGUGUUCCUCAGAAUGCCAUUGUGAACAAAAUGCACGUUGCUUUCUUCCACUUACUGCUGCACAGACACAGCCCAGCUCGGAGCAGUCCCACAAGUGGUGCGCAUCUUGCAAAACCCAGUCCCAGGGGAUGGCAAUAUAGUCCCUUCUUUGAGAAUUUUACUUCACGGUUUGGGUCCAUGAUGUCUACAUUGUUACCAGCCAGGGAAGGCCAUGAUGAAUUUUAUUUUUCUCAGAGACUGAGCUCCUAAAAGACAAGACCUUGCCUCUCUGCACCCAGAGCGCCUGUCAUACGCUGGGCAGGCUUAUACUGGAAGAAUGGAUACGCCAGUUAACAACUAGUUGGCCCUGAGAAACAUUUGCCGUUGGAGAUGCUUAGUAGACCCAGCGGAGAAACUGUGUCCUGAAAGGAAACACUGGUGUGGAGCAUGCAGGCACUUCAGGAGCUCAGAAGUCACCCUAAAGGAGAUUUUGAAUGAAAACUUAAAUAAUGCCGGUCGGCAUCCACCGAGCUCUCAGGCAGCACGGGCCACCGCUGGACUCGCUGCGGUUAUCAGGUGCACAGAGUCACAUUUACCCAAGGAGACCUGGUCUCAGGAAUGGUGUGAGGUAGCCACACCUGCAGGAGGCCGAGCACACAUCAUGCUUUAUUUCUUUGGAAAGAUCCAAGGUUGUAUGGAAGUCCAGUGAAGGCAGUGUGGUCUUCAUGGGCUGUUUCCGUGAAGCGAGUGUUGCAGUGGAAAGUGGCCCAGACUGGGCCUCGGAAAUCUCCUCCGUGACUCUCCCUCCAGGCAGAUCUCUAGAUAUUGCCAAGCCUCAGUUUCUUCAUCUCUCAAACGCAGAUAAUAUUAGUGCAUGCAGUGGUUUUAAUUGAAAGCAUUCAUAUCAAGCACAUAUAACGUAGGUUUCAGUUUUUCUCCUGAGCUGGUAGGAACACGUUGAGAAUGAUGACAGGCCCGUGGCGUUAACAAGCUGUGGCACUGCAGCUCGUCCCUCUGCCCAGCCUCUGGCCAGCGGCACACAAGGACCAGAGAGGAAGGGGUCAGUUCAUUAAGCGUCUGUCCAAGAGGCAAUGUCCCCGCAGCGGACAACAGUCAGAAACUGGCAGGGCUGGUUCGUCUCUGGUUUUUGUUUGCCCAUUUUUUAAUGAGCCAAUGAGCAGGUGAUAGGGCUUCUAAUCUCAGAGCCCAUGUAGUUGCUCCAUCUGGAGGGGACCUACUGAAAAGUUUUAUCUAUUCUAAAGGGUGUAGUUGGGCUGUUGGGAGAGAGAGCCAGAAUGUUGGAUUGCUGGUCUCACCUCUCAGGUGUUCCACUCAGCAUGAGGGUCCCUUCCAUCCCCUCAACCUGUGGGGUCAUCCCACCUGUCUCGUUUGUACCGCAGGCCACUUGCUGUGAAAAAUGGUUCUUAUUUAAUUUAAGUAGGGUUAACACACAUCCUGACUUGUUCUGAACAGUCUGUUCUAUGCUUUUUGAGCCAGAAUAAAUAUUAUAACACUCCCAUUAACUCUCAAAGUGUUGAGCAAUAAAUUAUGUGAUGCCAAAAUACAAUAGGUUAGUUUUUCUGUGGGUACCUUCUCAACCCCCAAUGAAUGCCUUAUGUCGAUUGGUAAUAUCCCCUCUGCCAUCAGCUUAGUUGGGUUACGAUAUACAAAGACAAAUAAGUGGUGACUGUAUAAUUUCCACACAGCAAUCUGUACUCAGGAACAUCAUUUCCGGAGCACUCCUGACUGGAGCGGGGAGUCUCUGCAUUGAACUGCAGUAAACAUAAUGUGAUGAUUCUAAUGAGGAAGGGUUUCCCCCACAGUCCUGUGAAGUAACCUAACUUUUGGGAGGUAAUAAUCAAAUAUAAGUCACUCUUUCUAAUAAUUCUGAAAUAACAAUGUCAAUUAAUGAAUUAUUUUUAUUCACCCAUUGUUCAAUAAAUAGUUAUUCAAUAAAUAUUUGUGUUAUGUUUCUGGACACUGAGCUAGGUACUAGAAAUAUAGAAAUUAAGAACAAUCUCUGGCCUUAAGGACUUUAUAGAAAUGGGGUCAAGAGUCAAGCCAGUGGUGACAGUCUGGCUAAUGGUGACACAGAACAGGAGCACCUAACUCAUCUUGGGGCCACUAGAGGGUGCGGAGGGAGGGGGGCUUCCAAGAGGCGGUGAUAUG